rnacentral:lncRNA from 1 species
UUUCUUUUCUUCUUCUCUCUAUACGUUGGUGUUCUAACCAAUAAUCACUCGAUCGCUAUUACGAUUCAAUUUCCGGGGUCAAUAUAUCCAAAGAAUGUCUAAGUGCCGCCCACAUUGGGUUAUACUUUGUCGUUUGUCAUUUCGAUAAAUGAGUUGAAGUAUUAUACUUUGUCGUUUGUCAUUUCGAUAAAUGAGUUGAAGUAUUAUACUUUGUCGUUUGUCAUUUCGAUAAAUGAGUUGAAGUAUUAUACUUUGUCGUUUGUCAUUUCGAUAAAUGAGUUGAAGUAUUAUACUUUGUCGUUUGUCAAUUCGAUAAAUAAGUUGAAGUAUUAUACUUUGUCGUUUGUCAUUUCGAUAAAUGAGUUGAAGUAUUAUACUUUGUCGUUUGUCGUCAAUUCGAUAAAUGAGUUGAAGUAUUGCACUUUGUCGUUCAUUGUGAGAAUUUGAUCUCGUGAGUUAUCGUAAAAGCUGUAUUGAUCAUUAACCCGGUUUUUGUGAAAUUCGUUAAGGUUCGAAUCUCAUGACUACCGUUAAGGUUUGAUUUGGGUUUUUCACCAAUACGUAUUCCGUUCUCUCAAACUAUGUAUUUAACUACCAAGAAUACUCCCAACUACACCCUUACAAUCAAACAAACUAUAAGAUCAUCAGAAGAUCCAGAAUAAUAAAGUGCAUGCCUAAUUAUCGGAAGAAGUAGAAUCAGGAAGUUUGUUAACUCAAUCCUGCAUACUGAUUUCCAAUGGUAAUUUCAAUAGAUUGGAGUAAGGAUUGGAUCCGACACUGAAAGGACUUCAAGAAGUGGCUUAUUUUCAAAUUAAGAAAUAUUGUUUUUAUUAAAAGCUACCUUUGUAAAACAUGGAAUUUAUUCCAUCUUUUUAAAUAAAAUCCGGUGUUUCUAAACUCUGAUAUUUUUCCUAACUCACGGUCCUGAUGAUUUCCGCUGCAAUGUUUUUCAAAAUAAUCACCGGUACCACUGGACUGCUCACGGCACCGAUUCCGGCCAGGAUGGGGUUGGGGGUCGUGACAUUUUCACAGUAAAUAAGUCCCUGGAACUCCAGCAAAAAGGCUCCAAAGUCCACUGAUUGUUUUUGUUUUCAUGAAAUCCUUGUUAUAUCUUACCAAACUUGAGUCUAUCUCAUCUCAAACCUAUGUCCUAAUGCUUACAACACUUUAGUGGUUGGUUAGGCUUAAAAACAAGGUUGAGACACUUAAAAAUCAGAGGAUUAAACCUCAUAAACUUGGUGUUUUGUUUAGGGUUUUUAACCCACAAGUCAUGUCAAACUUUGUCUUUGAUACAUGAGUGAUUAUGGAACAACUUGGGUUGUCCAAACAUACAAUCCUCACAUGAUUUGAUGAUUUCUCUUAGUUAGUAUGUAUAUUUCUUAUUCUUUAUUGUAUGUUCAUGACCCUCCUUGGUUGUUUUUUUUACAUCAAGUGUAGUGGUGAACACAUAGAGGUGCCUAAAUGGAAGACUUGAUCUUCCUACCUCCUACAUGAUUUAUAUGACAUUUAGAGGAACCAAAAUGAAGAUUUUAAUCUUCUACCUCAUGCUUGAACUAUUGGACAUAUAUAUUAUAUAACCUAAAUAUAUUAUUCGAAUAAUCGAAUCUUUGAUGAUGAACUAGUGUUCAUAUGUCGGGGUACUAGAUUACAUCAUCCUAGACUAUGAUAACUUGCCACGAUUCUAAUGGAACCUUGUUCCAUGAAAACAUCUAAACUCCUUCGAGUUUCCUAGUGUCAAGAACAAGCAUCAUAUGUACUAAAUGAUUAUUUUCCAUGUUAUUCUCAUAUCUUAUUUUUAUGUUGUUUUAAACACUGAAUCUCGACUCUAAACAUACUUGAACUUUAACCCUUAUACAUUCGGACUCUAAAUCUCUACUCGUCAACAAUUGGAUAAUCGGAAAGCAUAUGCAAGCCUUGUGAGUAUACUCGUAUUCCCCCUUUUACUUUUAUCACUUUUGAGGUGUAACAUGUUUAUCUAUCAACAAACUUACACAUGAACAUUUUGCUUAAACACAUGAACAUUCCUACAACAUGCUUGUAUACAUGAUGGCUUGAUACUUUAAACUUGGGUGAAACUUAUGUGUUAAAUUUAUCAUUAACUUCGUACGAGCCAAACCGUGACAUAUGUAGCGCUACAGGAUUAACGACCCGCCCUUUAUCAUCGGUAAUGUCAUGAGCAUAUUGCGUUUCCUUGGUUUGAUAUGUUAGACACAUGCUGAUGCGUGUCAGUGUGUAUAUGUUUUUAAUAUAUAAUUAAGCCCUUUUUACACUUUUAGCCAAGUUUUAAAUUUAUAAAACACGAUAUUUACUAACACUAAACACACAUAUGGGCAAGUGCACCCAUCGUGGACGUAGUAUAGUGUUGGUAAGAUACCGAGGUCGUCCAAGGACACAAGAGCUUUUAAUACCGGUUUAUCCUCAACGUCUAAUCAAAUCAAAAAGGUUAGAAAAUGUUUUAAACUAAGAAAAGUAAAAACUAAUUAA